GGCGCGGUGGCAGAGUGGCUAUGCAGAGGCCUGCAAAGCCUUGUACGUCGGUUCGAUUCCGGCCCGCGCCUCCA
rnacentral:tRNA from 1 species